UAGAUCUCAUUGACUUGGUUGCUAGUUUAAUUAGGCCAUGUUCUUUGCAUAAUUAAAAAGGAAACGGAAAUGAAAAAUGAAAGAAUUAAGCCACGUUCAACCAACACAUUUUCAUCCUUCCCAUAUUUAACCAAUCUAUAACCAAAUGUCCUAUAUUUACUUAUAAAUUAAUCAAUUUAACAAGAGUUUUCUUCAGCCUUUUUUAGUUCAACUGUUGCUUAUCCCUCUGUGAAGUUACAACCCAGGACGGGCUAUAAGGUUAAAGAGCAAGACCGGAGAAGGCUUUGGAGAUUAUGAGCUUAUGGAAGCCCUCUCUCUCUCUCGCUCGCUCGCUCGCUCGCUCUCUAAGCCAUUAAUUUAUUUCGCCAAUUUAGAGUAUGUUCCAAUGUUUCAUUUCUUUGGAGACCUUAUUCUUCUUUGCAACUGCAUAGGUUAAAGGUUUCUAUUUUUCUACUCAAUUUUUUUAAUGCCUUGGAAACCAAAAUUACUUCAACCAGAAAAUAAAAUUCUUGUUAAAAUAACCUAGAAUUUUCAAAAUGCUCUGGCACCUAGAUCAAUCAUCCUUCUACUGAAAAAAGCAGCCAUCC
rnacentral:lncRNA from 1 species